AGAGUUUGAUCCUGGCUCAGAACGAACGCUGGCGGCAUGCCUAAAACAUGCAAGUCGAACGGUGGCUUCGGCCACAGUGGCGCACGGGUGAGGAACGCGUGGGAACCUGCCUCUUGGUACGGAAUAGCUCCGGGAAACUGGGGAUAAUACCGUAUGGUCCUGAUAGCUGUAGUGGUUAUUAGGUAAAGAUUUAUCGCCGA
rnacentral:rRNA from 1 species